UUUUUUUUUUUUUUGGCCAACAAUUUAUUCAUUCAGUCACAUCCAUUUACUAAGUAUCUACCAUGUUUUACCUGCUUACUUUUUUUUUUUUUUUUAAGAUGAUGUCUCACCCUGUCACCCAGGCUGGAGUGCAGGGGCACAAUGUUGGCUCACUGCAACCUCCGCCUCCCAGUGCAAACAUCACAUCCCCAGGAAGCCCCUUCCUUAUUAUUCUCUCUCACACACACCCCAGGCCAGAUCAGAUUCCCCUCUAUAUACCAGCAGGACACCCUGUAUUUCUCCUUCAUGGGAUUUGUCACCGCUUGAAGUAACAUAUUUGUGAGAUUGUUUAAUUAACAUCCGUCUAAUGUAUCCUCCAUUAGAUUAAGAGGUCAUAAAUUACAUCUCUAGAGAUAAGGGGUAUUCUAAAAGCACAUCAUACCGACUUGGGGGUACAAAUGGGAUUGGUGUGUUAAUAUCAGAACUAUCCCUUUGAAUCUGCUCCACCUGUUGUUGUGGGUCCUUCAAACUCAGUUCCAGACCCCCACCCGUCCAGGGUUCCAGGAGUCCCAGCGUAUGCCUCCCAUGGGCAAACCUGAGCCCUCUCAGCCCUCCAAGACAUCUCAUAUUUCCUGCCUCUGGGGUGCGGCUCCCUGCAGCAAUGAGCUGCUGAGGCCUCUGUGCGCCUCAAAGCCACCUAUGUGUUGUCAGAUAUGAUAUUUUGGUUCUGAUCACAGAGAUUUCAAUCAAUUAGUUCUUUCGGUUUUUACUCCCAGUCCCUGCUUCCUAGAGCUCAAGACUGGGGUUGGCAAAAAGAAAAAAAAGAAUUCCCCAUCCGAUCCUGAAGCAAAGGCUUACAUCAUGCUCGGGUGCCUUGACGCCCUUUAACCUUGAGACAAAUUCUUUUCCAGAAGCCUUCGUGGUGGCUCAUCUAAAUAAUCCCCAGUACAGCCUACCAAAUGAGUCUUCCAGUGACCCCAGGCCUGUGUGCACUGAAGUGAAACAGAAGCCAGGGCAUUAUAGUGAGACCCCCAUCUCUAUGAAAGAAAAUGUUAUCAAGUUAGCUGGGUGUGGUCACAUGAGCCUGUAUUCCCAGCUACUCAGGAGGCUGAGGCAGAAGUAUCACUUGAGCCCAGGAGUUCAGGUUUGCUAUGAUGGUGUCAGAGGUGUUCAAACCAGAGCAACUCCAUCUUGAGUGAGGACUAGGAAAAUGAGGCUGGGACUUGCUGGGCUGCAUUCCCAGAAAGUUAGGUAUUCCUAGCCUCUAGGUGUUUACAGUUAAGGGAACAGAUGGAGAGCUUACUAAACAGACCCAGACUUGUGUCCUGAUAUCUUGAUAUCUUCAGAACAAAGGCAUUCCGAAUUUUGCUUUAUUUAUUUACUUAUUUAUUUAUU
ensembl:lncRNA